GGUUUGAUUAUGGCUCAGAUUGAACGCUGGCGGGAUGCUUUAUACAUGCAAGUCGAACGGCAGCACGGACUUCGGUCUGGUGGCGAGUGGCGAACGGGUGAGUAAUGUAUCGGAACGUGUCAGUAGUAGCGGGGGAUAACUACGCGGAAGCGCGUAGCUAAUACCGCAUACGCCCCCGGGAAAGCGGGGACUUCGGGCCUCGCACUAUUAGAGCGGCCGGAUAUCGGAUUAGCUAGUUGGUGGGGUAACGGCUCACCAAGGCGACGAUCCGUAGCUGGUUUGAGAGGACGACCAGCCACACUGGGACUGAGACACGGCCCAGACUCCUACGGGAGGCAGCAGUGGGGAAUUUUGGACAAUGGGGGAAACCCUGAUCCAGCCAUCUCAUGCGUGCGAUGAAGGCCUUCGGGUUGUAAAGCACUUUUGGCAGGAAGAAACGGCACGGGAUAUCACCCCGUGCAACUGACGGUACCUGCAGAAUAAGCACCGGCUAACUACGUGCCAGCAGCCGCGGUAAUACGUAGGGUGCAAGCGUUAAUCGGAAUUACUGGGCGUAAAGCGUGCGCAGGCGGUUCGGAAAGAAAGAUGUGGAAUCCCAGAGCUUAACUUUGGAACUGCAUUUUUAACUACCGAGCUAGAGUGUGUCAGAGGAGGUGGAAUUUCGCGUGUAGCAGUGAAAUGCGUAGAUAUGCGGAGGAACACCGAUGGCGAAGGCAGCCUCCUGGGAUAACACUGACGCUCAUGCACGAAAGCGUGGGGAGCAACAGGAUUAGAUACCCUGGUAGUCCACGCCCUAAAACGAUGUCAACUAGCUGUUGGGGCCUUCGGGCCUUGGUAGCGCAGCUAACGCGUGUGAAGUUGACCGCCUGGGGAGCAUGGUCGCAGACAAAACUCAAAGGAAUUGACGGGACCCGCACAAGCGGUGGAUGAUGCGGACACCUGAUGCAACGCGAAAACCUUACCUACCCUUGACAUGUCUGGAAUCCCGAAGAGAUUUGGGAGUGCUCGCAAGAGAACCGGAACACAGGUGCUGGCAUGGCUGAACACGCCAGCUCGCCAAGAUUGCCUUCCGAAUGAAGUCCCGCAACGAUGUCCCAGUCGCUGAAUAUACUGAAACAGCACUCUGAUCGUGACUGCCGGAGACAAACCGGAGAAGGGGAUGACGUCAGUCCUCAUGGCCCUUAUGGGUAGGGCUUCACACGUCAUACAACGGUCGCAUUGCAGAGGGUCGCCAACCGCGAGGGGGGAGCUAAUCCCAGAAACCCGAUCGUAGUCCGGAUCGCAGUCUGCAACUCGACUGCGUGAAGUCGGAAUCGCUAGUAAUCGCGGAUCAGCAUGUCGCGGUGAAUACGUUCCCGGUCUUGUACACACCGCCCGUCACACCAUGGGAGUGGGUUUUACCAGAAGUAGUUAGCCUGACCGUAAGGAGGGCGAUUACCACGGUAGGAUUCAUGACUGGGGUGAAGUCGUACUGCGUAA
rnacentral:rRNA from 1 species